GACGAACGCUGGCGGCGUGCUUAACACAUGCAAGUCGAACGGAAAGGCCCUGCUUUUGUGGGGUGCUCGAGUGGCGAACGGGUGAGUAACACGUGAGUAACCUGCCCUUGACUUUGGGAUAACUUCAGGAAACUGGGGCUAAUACCGGAUAGGAGCUCCUGCUGCAUGGUGGGGGUUGGUAAGUUUCGGCGGUUGGGGAUGGACUCGCGGCUUAUCAGCUUGUUGGUGGGGUAGUGGCUUACCAAGGCUUUGACGGGUAGCGGGCCUGGGAGGGUGACCGGCAACAUAGGGACGGAGAUACGGCCCAGACGCAUAAGGGAGGAAGGAGGGGGGAAUAGUGCACAAAGGGCGGAAGCGUGAUGCAGAAACGCAGGGUGCGGGAUGACGGCCUUCGGGUUGUAAACCGCUUUCGCCUGUGACGAAGCGUGAGUGACGGUAAUGGGUAAAGAAGAACCGGCUAACUACGU
rnacentral:rRNA from 1 species